AUUAAGGCCUUAUGGGUCGUAAACUGCUUUUAUACGGGACAAAACCCCUCUACGUGUAGAGGGUUGAUGGUACUGUAAGAAUAAGGAUCGGCUAACUUCGUGC
rnacentral:rRNA from 1 species